CAUUCCUACGUCGUUCCCAAUGAUGAGGAUGUCAUCCACAUAUAACACCAAAAAAAAGUGAUAGUGCUUCCACUUACCUUUCUGUACACACAAGGCUCAUCUUCGUUCUUAACGAAUUCAUAAGAUCUGAUUGCCUCAUCAAAUCUUAUGUUCCAACUUCGGGAAGCUUGCUUUAGUCCAUAAAUGGAUCUAAGCAACCUACACACCUUAUCUGGGCAGUUCUUGGACACGAAUCCCUUAGGUUGCAUCAUAUACACCUCCUCCUCGAGGUUCCCGUUGAGGAAUGCGGUUUUCACAUCCAUCUGCCAGAUCUCAUAAUCAUAGUGUGCUGUAAUAGCCAAUAGAAUUCUGAUAGAUUUUAGGAUUGCUACGGGUGAGAAGGUUUCGUCAUAGUCAACACCUUGCCUUUGACGAUACCCCUUAGCCACUAGCCUUGCUUUAUAGGUCUCUACCUUUCCAUCUACUCCGAUCUUUUUCUUAAAGAUCCACUUGCAACCGAUGGGUACAAUACCUUCGGGCGCAUCAACUAGGUUUCAAACCUUAUUGGAGUACAUAGAAUCCAUCUUAGAAUUCAUGGCUUCUUGCCACUUCCCGAAGUCUAUACUCAUAAUAGCCUCCUCGUAGGUCUGAGGAUCAAUAUCCUCAACAUCCUCUCCUCUAAUAUGUCCCACAUAUCUCUCAGGAGGAUGAGAUACUCUAUCAAACCUGCAUAAAGUUGAAACUUAUGUAUUAGGUACCUGAACAGACUCGGGCUGUAGAGUGGUGCUUGAGCUUGGUUCUCCAACCUCGCUCAACUCUAUCAUUCUCCCACUAUCUCCGCUAAGAAUGUGUUCCUUCUCAAGCUUCUCAAGGAACACUGCUCUCUUAGCUACAAAGACCUUUUGGUCCUCGAGAUGAUAGAAAUAAUACCCAUAAGUUUCCUUGGGGUAUCCCACAAAUUUGCAUCGCUCUGUCCUUGAUUCUAACUUAUCGGGGUUGUGUCUUUUAACAUGGGCAAGGCAGCCCCAAAUCUUAACAACCUUAAGAUCAGGCUUCUUCCCUUUCCAUAUCUCAUAUGGUGUAGACACUACCGACUCAGUUAGAACUCUGUUCAGAAGGUAAGCUACGAUAUCUAGGGCAUAUCCCUAGAAUAAGAUGGGUAGGUCAGCGAAACUCAUCAUGGACCGUACCAUAUCUAAUAACGUACGAUUUCUCCUUUCAGAGACACCAUUGAGCUGAGGUGUAUAAGGAGGUGUCCAUUGGGAUAAUAUCUCAUGGUCCUUGAGGAACUGAGUAAAAUUUGUACUUAAGUAUUCACCUCCUCGAUCUGAUCGAAGAGUUUUGAUACUCUUUCCAGUCUGGUUCUCCACCUCAUUCUUAUACUCUCUGAAUUUCUCAAAGGCCUCGGACUUGUACUUCAUUAAGUACACAUAUCUAUACCUUGAGAAAUCAUCAGUAAAUGUAAUGAAGUAGGAGUAACCUCCAAUGGCAUAAGUUGACAUAGGUCCACAUACAUCACUAUGUAUGAGUUCCAACAACUCAGUGGCUCUCUCUCCAGUUCCACUAAAUGGAGAGUUGGUCAGUUUUUCACGAAGGCAAGACUCGCAAGUUGCAUAUGACACAUAGUCGAAUGGAUCUAGAUAUCAAUAAUUUAGCAACUUUUGAAUCAUUCCCUCAUGGAUAUGACCUAGCCUACAAUGUCAUAGGUAUGCACUGUUCACCUCAUCUCGUUUCCUUUUAGACACUUACAUUCAUGAUAUGUGGAGUAGUGUCUUGCAUAAAUAAACCUUUAUGCAAUAUUCCUCUCGUCAAUCUCCCCUCGGCUUUGCUAGAAUUUACAAUAAAUUGUAGAUGUGAUGAAAAUACUGGUAUCCAAUACCAAUGCACUAUCACAAAAAUGUGCCAAUAGGAGAUUGAUCAUGAAUGUACCUGAAGCUUCUCUAAGCUUCUAUUUCGUCCUUUCUGCAAGGUACUCUUUGCAGUUCCUCUUCCAGUGCCCAUCUUUACCACAGUGGAAGCACUGGCCUUUGUCCUUUGCUGGGUCUUUCUUAGCAACCUUUGCUUUACCUGGUUUGCCCUUGCCCUUUCCCUUCUUAAGAGACCUUUCUGCUUUCCUUUUCUUUUUGGUCUCACCAGUGUAGAGAACUGGCUUCUCUUUCUUAAUAGUACUCUCUGCCUCCCUCAACAUAUUGAGGAGCUCUAGGAGAGUCACCUCAAGAUUGUUCAUAUUAAAAUUCAUUAUGAACUGAGAAAAAGAAUCUGGUAGGGACUGAAGCAUAAUGUCCACACACAAGUUAUCCUCUAGGACCAUUCCUAGACUUGUGAGUUUCUCUAUCCACUUAAUCAUCUUUAGGACAUGGUUCUGAACCAGUGUCCCCUUAGUCAUCCUAGCGCGGAAGAGGCUCUUGGAUAUCUCAUAUCGCUGAGUUCUUCCCUGUUCCUCAAACAAUUUGCGGACAUGUAGGAGAAUGGAUCUGGCAUCCAUCUUUUCAUGUUGUCUCUGUAACUCAGGAGUCAUAGAGCCCAACAUAUAGCACUGAGCAAGAGUGGAGUCAUCAAUGUACUUCACGUAGCAAGCGAUCUCAUCCUCGCUUGCCCCUUCUUCGGGCGUAGGCAUCACUGUAUCAAGGACCAGUGAGGCGGUUGACAUCAAGUAUGCCACGUAAGGGAUUUGAAAGCGACAUUUUCUGAAAAUAAAGAUGCAACAGAAAUAAAUAACAUGCAUAUUUUGCAAGAAAUAAACUAUCAAGAUAUGGACUUCUAUCUUAAUAUGCUCCCACUAUUUUACUAACGAGUCACGCAACACCCUUAGCACGUGAAACGGAAGUCUCCGGCAGACUUCUAGUGGGGAUCAGGAUCCAAUCAGCGUCUUAGUGUAACCUCGAGGGACUCGACCAAUUACACUAAGCCUAAAAGGUAGGCAACUCUUGCAGAUCACAACUCUUUGUGAUUCCCGUCCUGUUCGACCUCCGAAUCACCAUGGCCUCGAGGGACUCGACCAACCAUGAUGCUCGGUUAAGUCAACACCUUCGUUACAAGAUGAGUCUGAUUUGAUGAUAUACCCUCGAGGGACUCGACCAACCAUGAUGCUCGGUUAAGUCAACACCUUCGUUACAAGAUGAGUCUGAUUUGAUGAUAUACCCUCGAGGGACUCGACCAAGCAUACCAUGCCCUCAGGUCACCGAUGACAUCUCUAUGUCAUAAGCAAGAUAGCGAAUCGCGAUAUAGGUGAGUCUCGAGGGACUCGACCAACUCAACCUACACCGGGAAUCGGUUCCUACUUAUAACGAUGGAAGGCCACGUGGGUCAAUCUAAUUGCCUCACGUUUACCGACUUAAUAUUAUCGAGAGAUGUUUCUAUGAUUUGGUCUCCUAAUAUGACAUGUCACACAUAUACAUAUUUAAUAUAUAUCUACAUCGUAUGCAAAUAUAUAUACAUAUCUAGUAUGUGUAUAACUGUCUUUUGCCCAGAAAACCCUAAUGCCCUACUACCCUUCGCUGCUGCCGCCACCCUGCUGGCGGCGGCCNNNNNNNNNNNNNNNNNNNNCUGCCCCUGCAGGUUGGCGCCCCUACGGGCGCCGCCGCCUCCGCGGGCGGUUCUGCCCGCGGGGCAACGCCCGCAGGCGGUGUUGUCCCAACGGGCGGCCGCCCCUGCUGCCCGCGGGCUGCCAGCCCCACCGGACGCAAGCCUGCUGCAAGCAGGCCGUCGGCCGGCUGCUGUAGACCUAGCCCCUGUGCUGCUAGCUUGCGGCUGCGCUGCACGAACGCAGAUCGAGGGCAGCAACUAUUGCUGCCCUUUCUCGCUGCGUCAACGAUUUUGACAUCAAAAUUUUUCCUAAACACAACACACAUAGUUCAAAACCAAUCAUUCGCACGAACAACCUGGCUCUGAUACCACUGUUGGAAAAUCAUUGGGGGCGACAUCACAUACGCAACGGAAGAACAAGAAAACAAAAUCCCCGAUUCCCAAAAAGAUGUUCGUCGUCGUGCGAAGAUUAGUGCGCAAAAUCCGCGAAACUCAAACUGCAUAUAGAGUAGAUUGUGUUACCUAGGGAGAUCGUAUAUCCCUGUUUCCUUGCAGAUCCUUAGGAGAUGGUGAAGGAGGUCAAGCGUCCUCCUCUCUAGCGGUGAUCCACACAGCAGGUCGUGAGUCAUACCCUAAUGGGUAUUGGAUCUGCAUCCAAUAAGACAAGGGCUCCGUCGGAUAUCUCAUUUCCGAACCUCUACUCAUCGCAAUGCCUACCAUAUGUGUGUGACCCUCUAGGCCCAAUAUCGAGCUGGCCGUGAGUCAUACCUAUCAGAACUCCUUCUAACUCAGUGAAUUAUUAUCUCUGUAAUAAUUCACUCGACUCAUCGACUACGGACGUACUAGACCACUAUGUCGUAGUCCCCAGACGAUACAAGGGAAUCCAAUCCAUUGGACAUGUUUGUCCUCAGUUACCGUGUACCUAUAGUCCCUCAUCCAUCUAAUAUCCCAGAGACCGUAUAUCGAGCAUGGUGUUGUCAGACCCAUACGGUUUCUACUCGAGUCUCGCUCUAAUCGGAUUCUCCUGGAGAACUCUUUCUCUCUAAACCCGAAUGACCUUGGCCAGGGAUUUGUCUGAGCAAGAACAUAUGAGAUAUUCCUCUCAUGACGCCGAGAGUGGAUGAUCCUCUAUCGACACUCAAUAGCCCUCGUAAGGUCGACUACCACUCCCAAUGACCAGCUGUACUAGAUCUGGGACAGCCAAACCUAUAAGUCUGAUAUCUAAGAGUAGAGCACUCAUACAGGACAUCCUUGGUGACUCAAGUCUAAGGACCAGAUAUACCACUAGGACUACGGAAUCGCUGUCUGACAAUAAGGCAUCAUCAACCAUUCAGCAUUCCGUAAGCGGAUCAAUCAGUGAACUCAUUCUCCAAUGAGCACCUGUACUGUAUCCAUAGUGUCCCUACACGAGCAGCUAUGAGACCAGCUGCAUCCAUCAUAUGGACGGGUAUAUAGUACACCAGUCUGUCCGGUUAUCACGAUGUCCCUCUCGAGUAACCUAUGACCGGGAUUAUUUAGGAUAUGUGUUUAAAGGUGAAUCGAUCUCAUUAUCGUGAUCUCAUCACGAUCUGAUUCCUAUUGCACAAAUCGAAGGACAUCACAAUAUAUAUAUGCAUUUAUGCAAUACUUAUAAAGUGAUAUACGCCAAAAUAUAAUAAUAAAAAAGAUUCUGUAUCAAGUUACACGUGUCAUCACUCACGUGAUUGGCUUGCUGGGCACCUAUGACUAACAUAAACUAAUGCUGAGAUGGUAUUACACGAACCGCAUCAGGAUCAUGAGCACACUUAGUGUAUCUUCAAUCUAUUCUAAGAUAGCCUCUCGUUUUUACCUUCUUUUACUGAUGGAAAAAAAAAUUAUGUUGUUCACAGGGAAAUAGUUAUGCCAAUUAAUUGGCAAAUAGGGUUAGAUUAUGCCGAGAUUUUUUUUUUUUUUUUUUUUGUCCUUUCUUUUAGGUUUGGCCUGAGGCUUGGACCUUCUUCCGAGUGCUGAUUCCCUGCGCACGGGUAAUGUUUGACAUUUAAUGCAUUCAAAGUUUUUCAUUUCUGAAAAAAAGAAGAGAAUACUGUUUAGCAAGCAAAUAUAUUGGACCAACAUAUUCAUUGUGCCAAAGACGGAGAUCACCGAGUAGGCAAUUUUUAUGGAGAGGCAAUGAGGUGAGUCUCUCUUAGUUAAGUUGGGAAAUAGUUCGCAAAUGUCUCUGUUUGGAAUGAGGUUGUAGUAAUGAAACAGAUCUGCUGCAUUUUGACAAAUAUUAACUCACUGUAGGUCUAUUCGGUUUAAGCUAUGAGAUUAAAAGUCCAAUUGGAACAUCAGCCCCCUGCAUAACACACUAUCUACCGCAUGAGGAAAAUAUGAAGCAUCAGAGAGAUUUCUAUAUGGGUUGUCAAUUGUCCAGGAAGCUGAGAUUUUAGAUAAUUCUGUCUACUAACUUCAUUAUAUAUGAUGAUUGGUUUUUGUCCAUGUUAUAAUGACAAAGUGUUGCAGGAUUAUGGGAGAAGAUUAUAAAAUAUCCCAUAUAUAAUGACAAAGAGUUGCAGGAUUAUUGAUGAAGUGGUGUGGUCGUCUAAUAACUCUGCUAAAUUUUGUCCUACUAAGGUCGGACAGUGAUAGAAAGAAAAGGAGCCAACAUUAUGAUGGCACUCUAAAUGACAAGAUGCUGAAACAUUCGUGUCGUGUGCUACGUAAGAUAGAAAAUAAGAAUGAAGAACAUAUAUUGUUUAAAUAUAAUUUCAGAAGUAUAACUUAUGGGAAGAUUUUGUCUUACAGAUGACAUCAGAGUCCCAACCAAGUCAUUGGACAAUUAGAUUGAGUGGUUGAAACGUAUUGCUAAUGGGAAAAACAGUAAAGGAAUAAAUUUUAGUAGCCUCAUAGACUUAUGUAAAUUAAUCUUUGUUGCCUAAGAUUCUUGCUAAUCAGUUUAAAAUUAAAUUCGAUUAUCUUAUUGAACGGAACAUGAACAAUCAAUCUUUGUCAUUUUAAUAUUCAUCAUAAUAUCCUAAUACCUAAUAAGUAUUUCUAUGGGAUGGCUAAAUCCAAGAGUAAUGUUAUCUUGAAGUUAGAUCUUAUGAGAGUCUUUGACAGUGUUAAAAUUGGAAUGCUAUCAUAAAAAUUCUUAGACUGGUAGAUUUUUUCCCCCUUCAAUUCAUCUCCCGAAUUGAAGCUUAUAAUUCGUAUCUCUUUCUUGCUUAUCUUAUUAACGGUUGUAUAUCUAAGUUAUUUAUAAGGAUAUUAGACAGGAAGAUCCCUGUCUCCUUACGUAUUUAUAUUGACUGGUCCAGCAUAUUCCUUUUUAAACAUUUUUUUAUAUGAUGGUUGAGAAUAAAAGUAGCUGCUCUUUCAAUAUUAGAAGAAAUAUUAUCACGUAUACUGAUGGUUUGUUGGGUGCCUUUGGAGCUAAUAAGAAGCUAUGUAGGGACAUCUUUAAAACCUAGAUAAGUUCAAUAUCCAUUGUCCCAAAACGUGUUGCCCUUGCAUCAACACUAAGUUUGUGAGGAUUUGGGCAUCAAGGAAAGGAGUUGAUCUUUUAAUCAUCCAGGGUACCUAUCUAGGAUUCGGCUAGUAUAAGGGGUUGAUUAAAAGUUUAUUGAGGGACUUUCUUAUGGUCAAGAAAACCAAUUAAACCUUUAACCCUCUUAUUAGACUAUAAUGUAAUCAAAAUUUUAAUUUGGGAAUGAUUUUUAUUUUCUUUCUUGUUAAUAAAAUUGUAAAAAUAACAUUCAAUAUUCAGGUAAGAUGAUAUUUUUGAAAAUAAUCUUAUCUUAUGAGGGCUCACUUCCUCUUAUUUAAGGGGAGGAAUGAGAAGUUGUAUCCGAUUAGAGAGAUAGUUUUCUCCAUUUUUAUUGAAAAAUAAAAUUUUCUUUAAUUAUUUAAAAUAUUUAAUUUUUUUAGAUUAAAAUAUAUUAUAAUUAUUCAUGUUAUAUGUACUUCUAAAAUAUUCUUUUAUUUUCUUAAAUAUCUAAAAUUUUAUUAUUAGAUUAGAAUAUGUUAUAAUUGUUCAUGUUAUAUGAAGUUUCUAAUUUUUUUUAUCCCUUUAAAGGUCUCAAAUUUUAUUUUGAGAUUAAAAUAUAUUAUAAUUAUUCAUGCCAUAUGUAAUUUCUAAAAAUUUUUAUCUUGGAUGCAUGAUAUUAUAUUUCUAUUAAAUUUAUACAAUUCUUAUUAAGAAUAAUAUUUCCUUCUUAUGUAAUUUUAUCUUUUUAAUUUACUAUUAUUUAUUAUAUUUUAAUGACUCAAUGCCAAAUGAAUAAAUAUUUUAAUUAUAAUUUCACGAUAUAAAAUUUUGAAAUUAAGAGAAUUGAUUAGAAUUUAGGUUAAAAUCAGCUAUUAGGCUAGGCCUAGCUCGCAAGCUUGGUUGUAUAGCCUAUAGACUAAGCCCAGUCGAUAGGCCAAGCUCAACCAUCAAGUGAGACUUGACCAGCAACUCAAGCCCUAACCCAUAAGCUAGCUUAACCCAACUGAACACGGGCAGUCAUAUGCGAAGUACAUGACCAAUUCAUGGGUUAUGGGCUGACCCAAUCUAAUAUAAUGCAUGCACAAUCAUAUAUAAUGCACGUGACCAAUAUAUAAAUUGACCAAACUUAGUCUAAUAUUAUAUGGUAUAACUAAUUGCUCUUAUUUUAUUUGAUUUGAGCUCAAAUAUUGAUUAAACUGAAUGAGAUUUGAUCAGUUUAGAUCGAUUAUGGAUGAUUCUAAAUCAAUUUGACUUAUUCAACUCUAUUUAACCUAAAUUGAAUCCAAUCUAGUCCAAAAUAUACUAGUUUAGGGUGAUUUGAGAUUGGCUAAAUAAGGAUUAGAGAUCGGUUAAACUAGGUUCUAAUUAAAUCGAAAUCAAUUGGACCGAUUGAGUUAGGGUUCAAGUCAAUUAAGGGAUAGUUGAUAUUAAUGAUAUUUGAAAGAUAAAUUAAGAUAUUUUAAUGUAUUAUUUCAUUUUGAUAUAGAUAUGACUAGUAUAAGAUGAUUUUGUUUCCUCGUCGAGGGUAGGUAGGAUAAUUCCCUUCGUGGAUUAAUAUGUCAUUAAACUUAGUGGUUAGACGGUUCCUCCAUCCAUUGAUGGGAGGAACAUGGUCCUACUUUGAUGGGUGAGAGACACUACUCCAUUCGCUGUUAAAAAUGUGAAAUGAGUUUAUCACCUUCUAUUGUUGGGAGAACAUAAACUCAUUUCAUAGGAUAAAACCUCUUUAUCCAUUGUUGGGGAGUGCUCAUUUUGGUAUUUGAUAUAUACUAGUGGGAUGAUUGACUUUCGGAUAUAUAUUUAUUUUAUAGUUGACUUAUAGGGGAUUCCUACUCAACAUUACUGAACUUUUUUCUUUUAUUUUUUAUUUUCAAAAUAGUUUCCCAAUAGCACUAGAUCAAAUUAGAGCAUAUCUUCCUCCUACUACUAGGUAGAUCUAGUUGGACCUCUAUUUUUGAGGGGACAAUACUAUGAUUCUCAAUAAAGCCCAUGACUACUUUUGAUUUAUAUUUGAUGAAUAAAUAAAAUAUAAUAAAUAUUUAUAAUUUAUGUAUAUUAAUAAAGUGAUGUGUAUUUACUUGGGUCUUGAUGCACUUGUGAAAAGAUAUUGUAAUCCUAUAAGAAACAAAAAUCUAGGAUAUGAUAGACUUUGAACUCAUAGCUCCCCUAAUUGGCAACACCUUCGAUAAGAUGUGAUUACCAAAUUUGAACUCUAGAUUUCUUCAUUUUCAAUCAGCAUAACUUUUAUGUCAACUUUGAAUUGUUAAUAAUAUUUGACGUAUAGCUUGAGCAUUAUUAUCAUCUAUUUUAAUCAAUUGAGAUCCUAAAAACUUCCAUAACUUCCAUUCUCCCACUUAUCCUAGUGCAUAUGAGAUCUAUGCUUUAUCAUAAUAUAUAGGUUGGUAAGUAUUUUAAGAGUUCUAAUUAGGUUCAAACCACUUGGAUGAGUCUUAAUUAAAUCCAAACUCCUAAAUGGAUUAGGAUUAUGAUUUAAAUUAUGAUUAAAUUAAAUCCAAAAUCCAAACUCCUAAUUAUGAUUUAUUUUUAUAAAUGCCAAGUAUCUUAAAGAGAUACUUUAGUCCUUAAUGAAUUAUGAUUUAUUCAUGGUAUCUUAAGAGAUAUUUGGUUCUCCUAAUAUUUUGGAUCCAAGAUCAUUGAGACAAAAUUUUUUUAAAUUUAUGUGAGAGAAUAUACAAAGGAUUUUGUGCUUGGGUUCAGGUCGAAGUGACUCCUUGCAUUAAUUUUUUUAGAGUCUUAUUUGUUUCACAUAUAUAAGAAAAAGAGUUAUCAAAUGAUGUUAAAUCUUACAUCAAUUUUUUAAUAUAUUUUUAAAUUAUUAAUCUUUGAAUAUAUAUAUAUAUAUAUAUAUAUAUAUAUAUAUAUAUAUAUAUAUAUAUAUAUAUAUAUAUAUAGUUUUUUUGCUGGUUCUCUCCCUCCUCCCAAGGUUCUAUAUAUAUGAUCGUCCUUGUUAUUUCAAUCCCAGUUUAAUUUUCAUUUUCUUUUGUUGGUUUAUACAUUUUGUGUCAGUCUCAUACGGGUUGGACUAGGCAACUUUUUUUUGGUAGAUCUUGAAAUGGUAUUGGGACAGAACCAGCAUCGGAACGGUCAGUUCUGAGCGAGGAGAGAUUUAAAUUAGUUAAUAUGAUUACUUUAUGGAUUGAUAAAUCUGAUAAAUAAGGCACAUAUGUGAUGGCAUGAUAGUCCAAUUUUCUAUUGAAUUAUAUUUAAUUUAAGAAGGGUAAUUAUAUUGUGUCGCUAGCUAGAUUAGUUGGUAACAUGUUCUGAUAGAUGGAAGAUGGCUCAUCGCGUGUCGUGGAUCACGGAAAGUGGAAACCAAACUAAAGUUGUGGCUCCCAUGAACCACUGCAAGUCGCUCAUUCUGGAUCGAGAACAAGUGAUUGUCGCGGCUCAAUGUCGCUGCUCAAAAACCAUUCUCCAGAUUAUAAGCGUUGUAAAUAUGUUCAUUUUUUUUUGUUUUUUUGGUCAAAAUUGUUAUCGACUGACUGAAACUGUGAUAGCAGAUAUUUUCUCAGGAAAUCUUUCUGUUGAGGAAAAUCCUCCCUCCUAAUCUGUAUAAAUAGGAGAAAGACAUAUUAAUGCAUUCAAGCUAAAACUUUUUCAAUAAAGCUUCUUCAAUAAUUCUUUUAUCUUCUAUUCUUUCUAUCAUGGUAUCAAAGCUUUCGCCGUAAAGGCCACUUCAUCGACCGUGACUCUAUCUCAAAGUAGUGCAGUGUCCUCCAAGAUCGUUGUGUCGGUCUCCUUCGAAGCUGAACAAGGGCCACCACGCCACACCCUCUUCUCCUCCCUGCGUCGGUGGCAUUCUUUACUGUUGCCCUUCCUCUACCUCUUCCUGCAAAAGCAGAGCCGACACAGUCUCGUAAUUGCUCCCGAGCCAGUGAUCUCUCAUCCUCGUUCCCACAUCUCGCUCGAGUGAGAAGUGUCGUUGCCUCCGACCUUGCCGCAGCAGCCCUCUCUGCCACAGUAGCUGCAGCAGCAGUGAUCUGCUCUUCUCCCAAGCUGUUAUCCUCUGCUACAGCAUUACUAUAGCUUUCUUUAUUGUUGUAGCUUUCUCCUCUACUGCAGUCGUCGUCGCAAUCGCCGUCGUCGUCAUCGUAGCCUCAGUAAUAGCAACAGCAGCAGUAGCGAUCUGCUCUUGCCCUACUCAUGAAGUCUUUGGCUCGUAAACUGUUUGCUUUGCAUUGAUCCAAGAUUGAUAUCCUUGACAGGAGCAUCAUCUUGCGGGGGCAUGAUAGCAUAUAAGAUUUCUACAACUAUAUGAGGAAAUCUCUCUAUUCUAUUGAGGGAAAUCCUCUAUUAUGUUAAAGAAAAUCCUCCUUCCUAAUCUGUAUAAAUAGAAGAGGGACAUGUUAAUGUAUUCAAGCUAAAGCUUCUUCAAUAAAGCUUUUUUAAUAAUAUUUCUUAUCUUCUAUUCUUUUAUCUUAUAUUCUUUCUAUCAUGGUAUCAGAGCUUUCGUCGUAAAGGUCACUUCUAAACAUCUCGAAGUAGACCCGUCUCCCCACGGGACACCACCGAAUCUUUGCUCCUUCUCCUACUGCCUCAUGGACCACGACUCCAUCUCAAAGUAGUGCAGCAUUUUCCACAGACGUCCUCCAAGAUCAUUGCAUCGGCCUCCUUCAAAGUUGAACAAGGGCCACCACGUUGUGCCCUCUUCUCCUCCCUGCGCCGUCCUCCCUGCGCCGACGGCAUUCUUUAAUGCCGCCCUUCCUCUGCCUCUUCUUGCAGAAGCAGAGUCGAUGUAGCCUCGCAACUGCUCCCUGGCUAGCGAUCUCUCAUACUCAUUCUCGCAUCUCGCUCGAGCGAGAAGUGCCUCUGCCGCCGUCCUUACCGUAGCAACCUGAUAAGACCCUAAAGUCUUAUCGUAGGCUCUGAUACCAAUUGAUAAGACCCUAAAGUCUUAUCGUGGAAGAAAGGGGAGAAAUGGGGAUGAUAAUGAUCGCUUCGAGGGGAUCGGCCUCCUUGAUCGCUUCGAGGGGAUCGGCCCUCCUUGAUCACUUUGAGGGGAUCGACCCUCCUUGAUCACUUCGAGGGGAUCGGCCUCCUAGGGUUUGUCCAAAGACAGAAUAGUAUUUUUCAUAGAUUACCGAAAAGAAGUAGUUACAUCCCUAUUUAUAGAGUAUACCGAAAAGAAGUAGUUACAUCCCUAUUUAUAGAGUUCCACCCAAGGUCCAUCAGGACUUGAACUCUAAUAAUAAAUAAAUAUUAAAUAAACCUCUACUUGACUCUAACUGAACUAAACCGACUCAAUAAACAACUGGACUAAACAAACUCAAUAAACAUUAUUCAAAAGCUCAGAAAAAGGUUCCUAACAGUUCCUCCCUCUUCAAAUCAGCCUUGUCCUCAAGGCUGAGCAGCAUCAAUCUCAGGGAGCUUCUCUUUCAGCACUUUAGCCAUAGACUAUCUGCAACGCAUCACAACUUGUUGAUCAAGUAAGUAUGGUCUCCACUUUUUGAGAGUGUAAGCAACAGGUUGAUCUUUCAGUGUAGUAAUCGUUGCAUGAAACUUCUGGCCCUGUAUAAUCAAUUUUAUCUUUGAACCUUUGCUAUCACAAGUGAAAAUCCGUCCAUCAAUGAUCUUUACUUCGAAUCUGUCAUAGUCUUCAAUGUGGUGGGCCAAUCGGUCAACAGUCUCACUGUCCAUAGAAUUGUUAGUGAUNNNNNNNNNNNNNNNNNNNNNNNNNNNNNNNNNNNNNNNNNNNNNNNNNNNNNNNNNNNNNNNNNNNNNNNNNNNNNNNNNNNNNNNNNNNNNNNNNNNNNNNNNNNNNNNNNNNNNNNNNNNNNNNNNNNNNNNNNNNNNNNNNNNNNNNNNNNNNNNNNNNNNNNNNNNNNNNNNNNNNNNNNNNNNNNNNNNNNNNNNNNNNNNNNNNNNNNNNNNNNNNNNNNNNNNNNNNNNNNNNNNNNNNNNNNNNNNNNNNNNNNNNNNNNNNNNNNNNNNNNNNNNNNNNNNNNNNNNNNNNNNNNNNNNNNNNNNNNNNNNNNNNNNNNNNNNNNNNNNNNNNNNNNNNNNNNNNNNNNNNNNNNNNNNNNNNNNNNNNNNNNNNNNNNNNNNNNNNNNNNNNNNNNNNNNNNNNNNNNNNNNNNNNNNNNNNNNNNNNNNNNNNNNNNNNNNNNNNNNNNNNNNNNNNNNNNNNNNNNNNNNNNNNNNNNNNNNNNNNNNNNNNNNNNNNNNNNNNNNNNNNNNNNNNNNNNNNNNNNNNNNNNNNNNNNNNNNNNNNNNNNNNNNNNNNNNNNNNNNNNNNNNNNNNNNNNNNNNNNNNNNNNNNNNNNNNNNNNNNNNNNNNNNNNNNNNNNNNNNNNNNNNNNNNNNNNNNNNNNNNNNNNNNNNNNNNNNNNNNNNNNNNNNNNNNNNNNNNNNNNNNNNNNNNNNNNNNNNNNNNNNNNNNNNNNNNNNNNNNNNNNNNNNNNNNNNNNNNNNNNNNNNNNNNNNNNNNNNNNNNNNNNNNNNNNNNNNNNNNNNNNNNNNNNNNNNNNNNNNNNNNNGCCUUAUUUUUUUUUCUUUUGUUACGUUGCAGCGAGAACGCCGAGGGAGGAUCGUAGGCUCUGAUACCAAAUGAUAAGACCCUAAAGUCUUAUCGUAGGCUCUGAUACCAAUUGAUAAGACCCUAAAGUCUUAUCGUGGAAGAAAUGGGGACUCCUUGAUCACUUCGAGGGGAUCGACCCUCCUUGAUCACUUCGAGGGGAUCGGCCUCCUAAGGUUUGUCCAAAGACAGAAUAGUAUUUUUUAUAGAUUACCGAAAAGAAGUAGUUACAUCCCUAUUUAUAGAGUUCCACCCAAGGUCCAUCAGGACUUGAACUCUAAUAAUAAAUAAAUAUUAAAUAAACCUCUACUUGAUUCUAAUUGAACUAAACCGACUCAAUAAACAACUGGACUAAACAGACUCAAUAAACAUUAUUCAAAAGCUCAGAAAAAGGUUCCUAACACAACCCUCUCUGCCACAGCAGCAGCAGUAGCAGCAGCAACAGUGAUAUGCUCUUCUCCCAAGCUACUGUAAUUUGCUAUAGCUUUCUCUAUUGCUGUAGCUUUCUCCACUAUUGUAGUCGCCGUCGCAGCCACUGCCAUUGUCAUCAUAGCCGCAGCAAUAGCAACAACAACAGUAGCGAUCUGCUCUUGCCUUACUCACGAAGUCUCUAGCUCGUAAACUGUUUGCUUUGCAUCAAUCCAAGAUUAGUAUCCUUGACAUGAGCACUCUCUUGUGGGGGCAUGAUAGUAGAUAUGAUUUCCCCAACUACAUAAGAAAAUCUCUCUAUUAUGUUGAGGGAAAUCCUCCCUCCUAAUCUGUAUAAAUAGGAGAGGGACAUGUUAAUGCAUUCAAGUUAAAUCUUCUUCAAUAAAGCUUCUUCAAUAAUUCUUAUCUUCUAUUCUUUCUAUCAUGGUAUCAAAGCUUUCACAGUAAAGGCCACUUCUAAACAUCUCGAAGUAGACCCUUUUCCCAGCCGGACUCCAUCGAAUCUCGGCUCCUUCUCCUAUUGCCUCGUGGACCAUGACUCCAUCUUAAAGUAGUGCAGCAUUUUCCACGGACGUCCUCUAAGAUCGUUGCGUCAGCCUCCUUCGAAGCUGAACAAGGGUCACCACGCCGCGCCCUCUUCUCCUCCCUGCGCCACCGGCAUUCUUUUCUGCCGCCCUUCCUCUCCCUCUUCCUGCAGAAGCAGAGCCGACGCAGCCUCGCAAUUGCUCCCUAGCCAACGAUCUCUCCUCCUCGUUCCCGCAUCUCGCUCGAGCGAGAAGUGCCGUUGUCGUCGUCCUUACCGCAGCAGCCCUCUCUGCCACAACAGCUAUAGCAGUAGUGAUCUGCUUUUCUCCCAAGCUGUUGUCCUCUACUAUAGCUUUCUCUAUUGUUGUAGCUUUCUCCUCUGCUGUAGUCGUCGUCGCCAUCGCAACCGUCGCCGUCGUCGUCGUAGUCGCAUCAAUAGCAAUAGCAGCAACGAUUUACUCUUGCCCUACUCACGAAGUCUCUGGCUCGUAAACUAUUUGAUUUGCAUCGAUCCAAGAUUGGUAUCCUUGAUAGGAGCACCAUCUUACGGGGGCCAUGAUAGCAGAUUCUGUUAAGAAAAAUCUUCUAUUAUGUUGAGGAAAAUCCUCCAUCCUAAUUUAUAUAAAUAGGAAAAGGACAUGUUAAUGUAUUCGCUAAAGCUUUUUCAAUAAAAUUUCUUAAAUAAAACUUAAAGCUUCUUCAAUAAUUCUUAAUAUCUUCUAUUCUCUUAUCUUAUAUUCUUAUAUUCUUUCUAUUUCGAACUAUGAUUGUUCUGAAGAAUUUCAAUUUUAAUUUUAAUUUUAAUUUUUUUUUCCGAUUAAGCUAAUUACAAACAGGUAUAAAAAGAAUAUGUCAAUAAUGUACUUCUUUUCCUGCUUAUCCAGUAGGAAUGAUAAUAGGAAAGUAUCAUCAAGAAUAACCCUUUUACAGCAAGUGGCCCUCGGAACCCGAGUAUCACCACCAUUCGUCGGCUUUGACUCUUCCAACAAUGGUACAUGAUUGUUGGCUAUUUCCGAUGGGAAUGGUUCCUUCCUCAUCCAGUCUCGUUCGAUGGCGCAUCGUCUUCCUUGUCUUGAAGUUGAAGGCAAGUAUCACAAGUACGAUGGAGACGACCAUAACAGCGGCGCCUGCGUAGACGCCGUCAUGAACUAUGUAGCAGUCGCCGUUCAUCCAGCCUUUUCCGUAUGACUGUCCGCCGUCCAUGCUCGAUGCAAUGGCCAGUAUGAUCGAUGCCAGAGCGUAGAUGAUCCUACAGCAUAAUUCGUGUGAUUCCGUCUGAAUUUUCAAACCCGCUUCACAUGGUGAUUGAUGCAGCCAACUAAAAAUAGCCAACUAAGGACAGCGUCGUCACCGUGGGGAGGUGCUUAAUUAAUUACAUACAUACAUACAUACAUACCAGGCAAGACAUAGCAGGGCGAUGGAGGCAAUUCGACUGCUGCUAGCCGCCGCCUUUAUCGAACAGAUCCUGCUUCCUCCCAUGGUAGUCCCAAUGACCUGUGCGAUGGAGAGGCACACAAGUGCUGCGAUCCCCAACCCAAACGCGCUGCUCCUUGGCAGCGAACAGAGGCUUCCAUCCAGUCUCAUAUCCUUCACCUUGGGAGCACGGAAGGGUGGGGGAAAAGAAGAAAAGAGGACAGAUCAUUUGGUUGGUUAUAUAUCCAGAACACCGAAAAGCAUGGUGGAUGGUUUUAGCACGUAAGAGAUCUUACUUUCACUUUCUCGAAUUCAGCCGCGACGCAACACGAGAAGGCAACAACGCCCAGGAGCGCGACGAUGGUGCAGAUUACCAGCUCAUCGUACUUGGGUGUUUCCAUUGGAUCCCUAGAUAAUCCAUACAAGAUCAUCGGCGAGCGAGAGGUGUGUAGCCAAUGUGUUCUCAGCUACCCGGUGAAGAAGGGGAAUACCGCUUUAUUUUCCGCCCGUUGCUUCUGGUUUUCCUAUCGGAGAUGGCGAUCGAUGCCUUUCCCCACUUUCCAUUUCAUGAUUUGUGACAGAGGAAAUGGUCAACUCGUAAUUGCCGGCCUCCGGGUGAGGACGAGCGCGGACUUUGAAGUGGUUGGCCGUCUGCGGUGACCUUUCGAUUGUACUGGUCAAGUCAACUUGGGGAGAGAUGGAGGAGUUACGUGCAGGAUUCCGGAAAAGGGAACAAUCCGUUUAUAGGCCGAAAGAAUGGGCAUAUUUUACUUUGUGACUUCAGGCUCCUACUGAGGAAGCAGCUACUGGGCCAUCCGCUUCUGCUAUUACGACUAUGUUGACUGCCAUUUAUUUCUUAUGGUGUCCAAAGAUUAGUUCUCAAAGGGUUAGUAAGAUUGAACAACAAAUCAGCUUUUUACUGACCGUCUCAAAGAAUAAGAUCCGUAGCGAUGGAUUUCAACUCCUCUUUACCGAUCUUGCCUUCAAGUGCAGAUGCUUAUUUUGUUUUACGAAGCUGUUUGCAGAUUUGUGUUGAUGAAAGAACCAUACGAUUCUAUGAAGGAUUUGCUCAAGGAGAGACUUUUUGCUACGCAACGGGAAGGGAUUCACUUUAUUCAUUUGCUCCGUUGUUUCAAGAAUAAUAUUGCUUGGAAUUUCUUUAUUGUAACUAAAGACAUUUUUGUUCCUCUUGAAAUAUUGUGAUGUCUAUAGGGAGAGUAAUCGGUUAGUCAAUUAGUUGGCUAAUCGUAUCCGCUAAAACAGAAUCAUUGGUUGUCGGAGAAGGGACUGACCUUCUCAAUUUGCUCGUUUUGUUUACGCCCGUCUAAAUAGUAAUUUUAUUUUAGCAAAAAAGAAACUACUUUUAGUUUUCUAGUUACAAUAGUAGAGAUAUACUAAGAGAAUUAAAAGGAAAAAGAUACUAAAUAUAAAUAAUAAUAUAAGAUUGAAAAUAGAACAUUAAAGAAAAAAUAAAGUAAUUUAUUAUUCCUCCAAAUCUUUUAAUGCUAAUAAUAUAGCUAUGCUUGUACAAAAGUUUCUCAAAUGCUCAUCAUUGUGAAAGAACUUAGAUUUUAACAUAUCUAUUAAGAAGAUUCUUUCUUCAGAAUCAUUGGUAAAUGACUCUAAAUUUAUGAUGACAUUUGAUAGCACUUUAAAAUAAAAUUUAAAAAUGAAAGAAAAAUCGUCAUACCAAUCAAUAAUUCGAGACGCCCAAUGCCACUACUUGUCACAGAGCCCGUUAGUGGGACAAGAAAGCCACCAUCAAGGGCUGUGAUUUGAUCCGCCGGCAGCUUUGACCAGCUUUUUAUUACGGAAUAAAUUGUGUCAAGGAAUGAUUUUUCCCAGGUCGAUUGGGAUGUGAGGACGGCAUCACUCCUCCACCAUUAUUCAUAAAAUAAUUAAUAUCCUGAUGGUUUGAGAGCACCUGAAUUAUAGUAUUAAGACCUUGAUGAUACUAUGGAGAAGAAUGAAUUAAUAUAAUAAUAUUUUUAAUUAAUUUUAAAUUUUGAUCAAUAAAUCAUUAUAUUUCAAAUUUUUGAAUAAUCUAAUUAAAAUUUUAAGUAAAUAAAAUAUAAUUAGAUCACAAGUAAGUGGUAAGCAAGGAAAGCUAAGUCAAUUUAUAGUGUUUCGGUCUUUCCGAUUUAUGUCCACUCCCGAUUCUUUUUUUCUCGAGGUCAUCAGCUUUCACUAUCGAUCUUCUUUCUAAUGGGCGAAGAUCAACUAUCCUUUUUAUAACUCUCCGUUUUUUUAGUUUCACACUUUCUAUCACUUAGAAUUUUAAUUAAACUCAAUAAAAAGAGGAGACUCAAACUAUGCUCAAAAUUAGGGCCUACAAUACUUUACUAGCUCAAGAAUGAAUGUUCUAUCAGCCAAGCAUAACCGAGGUAUUUAUAGAUACUAAAAGAUUUCAAGAAUGAAGUUAAAAAUUUAAAUCUUCGAAAUUUUAGGGUAUAAGCGAUACUGCCGCCAACAUCGAGCAAUACUACCAUCAUAACUUUUGACAUGGACACAAUUCUGGGCUCUAUUAGUACACCACCAUAAUAUUUGAAUUUUUGACAAUACCAUAAGUAGUACUACCAUCGGAAAAACUAACAAUGCACAAAUAGUUCUUGUCGAUUGAAUUAGGUGAUACUGUCGCCUUGGCCUAGCGAUACCAUCGCCUAAGCCUAGUUUUGGCCAUCGAUUUAGCCUUUUAAUGGGCCUAAUUCGGUUUGACUUUAAGCCCAUUAACUUUCUUGACAAGUAAAUUUUAUUUUGACCCAAUAUUGGCUUAAAUUAAUCCAAAAUUAUCUUGAUUAAGACCUUGACAAAUUAACCAUACAUCUAGUAUAUUUACAAAGCUUUCAACAUGUUUUACGCUUUUUCGACAUAUCGUCUGACCUUCCAAUACUUCGUUUGAACUUCCAACACAUCGCUCUUUCCUUUAGUAUAUCACCUGUUCCACUAGCAUGAUGACUUUCCAAUGACAUCCAAUCUUCUGGCACAAUAUCUGAUCCUUCCGACAUGAUUCCCAAACUUUUAGCAUGAAGUUUGACCUUCGACACGUCAACCAAUCUUUUAGCUCAACGUCCAAUUUUUAACAUGAUAAUUUCUCGGUAUAACAUUCGUCUCUCUUACUCAAUAGUUGGCACUUUGAUGGUCUGAUUCUAUGAUCAAAAUAUUUUUCUAUAUCAUUUAUCUCAAAAGCAUAUAGUCUCAUAAAUUUAUUUCAUCAUCAAAAUCUAGGAUUUAACAAUCUCCCCCAUUAUGGUGAUGAUAAUCAAUUGAUGACGAAGUCUUAUCUAGGCUCCUCUUGUCUAUAUGUCAUCUUAAAAGUAUAAUGAACUUGAAUUCGAAAUAAUAAUCUUUUAGCAUUACUCUUGAAUUCAAGUUGAAAUAAUCUUAUUAUAAAUCUAAAUGAUUUUUAAUAGUAAUAAUUAUAAAAAUCAAAUGCAUAAUUUUAAUUAAAAAUAUCAUAAGUUAAAAACAUCAUAACUUAAUUUUUCCUAUUCAACUUUAAAAGGUAAAGAUAAGCAUAGAUACUACUUUAUCAAAAAGGUAAAGAUAGUUACUACUUUUCCUCUUUUGUCAUGAACCAAAAGGAGCAAUAUAUAAUCUACUCGGGUGGUGAUAAUCCAAAAUGUAUAAAUAAAGUAUAAAAGUGUGUAUCAAAAGUAUCAAGACCCUAAUGAAUAUGUUGCAUCUUAAUCAAGAUAUAGUCUUGACGAAGCUCAAAAUGAAUCAAUCGAACUAUUAUAUUAUUAGAAUAUAAAGAAGGUGUUAAAUCCACUAGAAGUUUCACCUGAAAGGGACUAGUAUGAGGUGUUGAAUCUUGGAUUUUGAUGAUGCAACCAAUUGAUAGUGUUUAUGAUCUAAUCUGUGUUUUGAGUAAUGCAGGACUAGUUUCAAUCAUGAAGUGACAAUUAGAGUAGGAAGAAUUAAUGUUGGGCCAGAGUGGAACAUGUCAGAAGAUUAGACGUCGAGCCAGAGGAUUGGUCGAUGUGUCGGUAGAAUGCUUCAUGCCAUAAGUUCGGGCAUCGGGCCUAGAAGAGCGGACAUUGCACCAAGGAGAUCAAAGUUGUGGAGGUCAACAUGCUGAUUGGGUAAAAGGCUGCAAAAGAGGACGAUGCAUAGAAGGAUUGGACAAAGUGCCAAUGAAUCAAUGACAUGCCAGACAACAUGUGAUUAAUGCUUUGUAAUAAUUGUCUAGAUCGAAGUAGUUUUAAGUUGUAAUGGGGUUAGAAUUAGGCUAACUCAAUUAGGGGCCCAUUGGGACUAAGUUAGGGCUAAGUUGGGCUGGAUGGUUGGCCCACUCGGCCACUUGGAGCCAUGCUAGAUGGUGGCACCGCCCAGGGUGGGCGGUGGAACUAUUUGAGGUUUAGCCUCCCAAGAGGUCUGGGUGGUUGUAUCGUUGACAUUUAAUGUUGCCAGGCAGUGAUACUGCCAAAGUCCGGUCUCUGAGGCUCUGUCAAGCGAUAGUACCGCUAGACUGAGCAGUGGCACCACCUAGUGUUAGAGUAUCAAGUGGUAGUACCACCCAGUACUGGUAGUGGUACUGCCAAUACCCGAAGACCCAAGAUGAGACUGGUUUUGACUCCAAGUUUGAAUCUAUUUAGGGCCUAUAAAUACCCCUCUCAUCCCUACUCAGCAAAGAUAAGAACCGAGAACAAAAACAAGGGAAAACUCUGUUGUAAUCUUGUGAGAAUUCUCCUCCUCUAAUCUAAGUAUUGAUUUUUGUUUAAAAGAGGAGUGACUAGAGGUGUAAAGAUUCUCUCCUGAGCCUAUCAAAAGGAGAAUAGAGUUGUAAGGGUGUUUGGUCCUUGCCCAUUGAAUGAAGAACAUUAGUGGAUGUCGGUGGUUUCGACGAAAGAGGAAUCGGUAGUGGUCACGGUGACCGAACUACUAUAAAUUGGUGUGCUUUCUUUCUUUGCUGCCAUUUACUUACUUUGUAAUUUCUUUACUUCCUCACUACUUUAGCUGCACACUCUUAUGAACGUUUUUAAAAUUAAAAUAUUUUUUUAUAUGUUUUUAUAGUACGAAGUUUCGAAUAUCGACGUAAUUUUACAUACGCACUAAUUACACCCCCUCUCUUAGUGUCAACUCGAUCCUAACAGUUGGUAUUAGAGCCACGUUUCUCUCUAUUUGAAUUAAUAUGAUAGAACUCCAGAGGAAUUCUAUGUAGAUUGAUCUUUGAGGGGGAUCAACCCUUGGAACACUUUAGGGGUUCCACACUCUUAGAAGUCGGACAAAUGGCUUCAAUUGUAGAUGAAUUUUAUUCCCAAAGAGAUAGAGGCUACAUGCUUAAAUAGGGCUCCAAACCCUAGCCCUAGGGGCUGCUUCCUAAGUUAGUUACCCCUUUUGCCCUCAACCCUAACCAACCAGCCUAGUAAAAGGGGGCGGUGGCUAGGAAGCCCAAAGGCCCAAAUAUAAACCCUAGCCACUCUUCUUUAUAGGAUAGAGGUGGCUAGGUGAGGUUUAUUACAAUCUCAUAGGGUUUUAUUAAUUGCUUCUUGGUUGAGUAGGACCCAACUCUACUAGUGUCCUAUCAAGCCCGCCCUCUCCAAAUCAGCAUUGUCCUCAAGGCUGAGGUUCCAUGAACUCAGAGAACCUGGUCUUUAGCUUCUCAUAUAAUUCUCAUGUGGUGUCUUCAAGUGGUAAAUUAUUCCAAUACACUAGUACUUCAGUAGAGGGAUGUUGGCGACGCAUCAUGAUCCUGCGGUCGAGGAUGACUUGUGGUUGGGCUUGAAUAACUCCGUCCUCAGUGGUGUUGGGCAAUUGGAUCUAGGGUGACUCGUGUUCUCCCAACUUAGGCUUCAGGUAUGACACGUGAAAGACAGGGUAAAUUUUGACAUACUCAAGCAAUUUAAGUCUGUAUGCCAUGGCUCCAAUAUAUUCUGUGAUCUGAUAAGGCCCAUAAAAAUGUGGGGAUAGCUUCAUGGAGGCUCGUGUGUUGAUGGAGAGUUGCUUGUGUGGCUAUAGGCGAAGAUAAACCUAAUCUCCUACUGAAAAUUCUCUUUCGCUUCAUCGUGGCGGCUUGCUACUUCAUUCUGACUUGAGCAGAAGAAAUAUUAUCCUUUAGCAGCUGUAGGAGUUUGUCCCUGUCAAUUAAAUCUUGGUCGACCUGAUCUGCCAUGGCCGAGCCAAUUACAUACUUUAGAAUCACAGGGGUCGGUCGAUCAUAUAGUGCUUCAUAUGGGGCAUAUUUUAUAGAUGAAUGAUAUGUCAUAUUAUACCACCAUUCGGCCUAGGGAAGCCAUUUCGCCCACUCUUUUGGCGGAUCACUGGUGAAACACUAAAGGUACAUCUCUAAACACCUGUUCACCACCUCUAUUUGGCCAUAAAUUUGUGGAUGAUAUGUUAUGCUCAUCUUGAGUUUAGUGCCCUAUAACUAAAAUAACUCAGUCCAAAAUUUACUAGUGAAGAUCCUAUCACGAUCACUUACAAUAGACCUUGGCAUCCCAACAUUUUCUAUAAAAAUCUGGGUAAUACUAGCAGUAGUGUAGGGAUUUCGCAUAGCACAAAAAUGAGCAUAUUUCGUAAAUCGAUCAACUACCACAAGAAUUGUGCUUUUACCUUUGGAAGGUGGCAGACCUUUGAUAAAGUCCAUAGAGAUGUCAGUCCACACCGAGUUCGGUAUGGGUAGUGGUUGUAGCCUCCCUGGACUUGCCACUGUUUCACCCUUGUGUUGUUGACAUACUUCACAUUGUGCCACAUAUUCAGAAAUAAUUUUUUUCAUCUCUCUCCAAUAAAAAUUUUGCUUCACUCUUUUGUAUGUUCUUAGAAAUCUGGAGUGCCCUGCUGAAAGUGUGAAGUGCAUUUCGUGUAGGAUGAUUUUGAUAUAAGGGAAGUCGGGUAUAAGCGCAAUGCGACCUUUGUAGCGUAGAUCCCUUGAAUCCCAAGUGUAGUGGGCUAUUGCGUUUGGAUCCUCCUCUAAUUUUUUUAUGAUGUUGCUGAUCUCUAGAUCCUUCUUCCAUUCCUCCCUAAUGUCCUCGAGGAAGCCGGUGAUAGGAAGGGAGAUGACUGAAAAUUUAGCUUGCUCAGGUAGCCGUGAGAGUGCAUCUACAACAACGUUUUCUUUCCCCUUUUUAUAAAUAAUUUCAUAAUCAAAUCCUAGAAGUUUGGUUACCCAUUUUUGCUGCUCAAGGGAUGAUAUCUUUUGCUCCAAAAUGUACUUAAAGUUUCUAUGAUCGAUUUUAAUUUGAAAUCAUCGACCGAUCAGGUAGGGUCUUCACCUCGUUACUGUGUGUAUAAUGGCGAGCAUCUCCUUAUCAUAUACUGACAUUAUUUUAUGGGAGGGAGAUAAUGCCUUAUUGGUGUAUGCGAGCGGUCGACCAUCUUGCAUGAGAAUGGCUCCAAUUCUGACUUCAGAUGUGUCAGCCUUAAUGAUGAAGGGUCGGCUAAAAUCUGGUAGCGCUAGCACUAGUGUCGUCGUCAUGGCUGCCUUAAGUUUUUCGAAGGCAGCAGAGGCUUUGUCCGACCAUUGGAAGACAUCUUUUUUCAGUAGAGAAGUGAGGGGUGCACUGAUCUUCCCAUAGUCCUUCACAAAUUUUCGGUAGUAGCCCGUUAGUCCAAGGAACCCGCGCAGUAAUUUCACAUUUGUAGGUUUCGACCAGCCUUGCAUUGCUUCAAUUUUGUUUGGGUCUACCGCCACUCCUGAUAUUAUAUGCCCAAGGCACUCUACUUUUUUCUACAGAAAGCUGCACUUUGGUUGCUUAACAAAAAAAGUAUUCUCCUGAAGGAUCGCCAAAACAACUCAUAAAUGUUGAAAGUGAGUCUCAAGAGAAGGGCUGUAAAUGAGAAUAUUAUCAAAAAAUACCAGCACAAAUUUACAAAGAAAGCUCCAAAAAAUAUCAUUCAUGAGACUUUGUAAGGUUGAAGGAGUAUUAGUGAGUCCAAAAGGCGUUACCAAGAAUUCAUAAUGGUCGUUAUGUGUGCGGAAUGUAGUUUUUGGAAUGUCGUCUUCACAUACUCGAUUUGGUGGUAACCAGAUUGGAGGUCCAACUUCGUGAAGACUCGAGCUCCUUUUAACGCAUCAAGAAGUUCAUCCACCACUGGUAUUGGGUAUUUGUCCUUAAUGGUGAUGCCAUUUAAAGCUCAGUAGUCGAUGCACAUUCGCCAAAUUUUGUCCUUCUUGCGUACAAGUAGCACAGGUGAGGAAUAGGGGCUGCAACUUAGCCGAAUCAUCCCUGUUUCAAGCAUCUCCUUUACAAUCUUUUCAAUUUCAUCCUAGCAUCAAAGGGGUCGCGCUAGGCAACUCUCGGUGCUGGCCUAUCAUGUAGGAUCGCCAGCCACUCGAGGACACCUAGACGUCCUAGCCCCCAUGGAGGAAAUUUACGACUAGGAAGAUCUCAGUCCACCUACCUGAUCAUCUUGAAUCGGGUCAUCACUAACAGAACGGCUUCCGACCAGGCCACCUAUACAGUCGCACCUCACCUAGUCUCUCACGUUAGCCAGGAAGAGGUACCUGGAUGAGCCUACACCAUCGGUAGUGGACCAACUUUGCCGACUCACCAAUCGACGGUACUCAUGACACUAUCAUUCUACGCUGAAAGGAGGGUUGAACGUUGCAGGUGCACUCUUCUAGCGCUCCUCCUAGUGAAUGUCUUAGACAAGGAGGGCCCCUCCUCCCUUUCCGAAGGUGUAGAGGUGAGCCUCCACACUUACCUUACUAGAAGCACCCCUCAACCUCGGCGUCAAGGGGCUAGGCAUAUGUGGCUCUGCACUUCUAUCACACCCUUAGCAACACCAUUUAAGCUAGUACCUAGCCUUCUUUGCUUGUAGGGGAGCCAAAGCCAGACCCUCGAUGACUCCCCAAGAGAUGCUCCAAAGAUAGUUGAGACUAAGGGGCCCCCACUCCAUAAAGUAGUAAGGUGAAGCGAGGAAAAAGAUUCCAAACAUCCCCGACUCUCACUCAAGAAUCAUUACAAGGAUGAACAGUACAUUCCGAAGAGGUUUUCAUUAAACUGGGCAAAAUGAGUUACAAAAGUGGAUGCCAUCCCGAACAGAAGGCUAUAAAACGGGAGCUAACAAAACCAAAAAGGAGGGUCACUAGGACCCAGUUGCAUCAGGCCGGAGGAGGCAGAUCCAGAGGAGAUGUCGGGCGAUCAUCAAAUGGAACCUCCAUGGUAGUAGGCACUUCGGUGUCUAAGGGAAGCUCCACAUAAGGAUCCUCGUCGACCUCGAGUUCAAGGGUACCUCACCUUGAAGCGGCUAGUGGCAAUUUGGUACUCGAACUCAUAUGCAGUCUCGCUCGAGCGCAGAAGGCUGUAUUAAAACCCCCCGGAUUCCUUAUAGGAGUCCACGACCCUCCACUUCUACUCAGAAGCUUGGUUCUUCUCCUCCUCUCAGGUCUCUUUUGCCUCCUCAACUACUAGACGGACAACCACCAACUCGUCAUGGUUGGUCAAUAAACGCUCUCUCAACUGCUUUCCCUCCUCGAUGGCCUCGCCCAACUAAUGAUGAGUAUCUCUCAAUUCUCGGUGCAGGACUUCAACCCACUCUUAGGCCUCUGCCACACUCUCUAUGUUCUCGUCUUCAGUGGAAAUCACCAUGUCUUGAGCCUCCUCCGCCCGUGCCUUGACUUCUUCGGCACAGCGGAUGACCAGACCUAUGUCCAAGGAUAGUUCAGAUGUCUCGACCUCCACCCUUCUACAUGCCUCUGUGAGGCACUCCUCUACCUCCUCAACUCGAAGGCGGGUCUGAGUUAGCUACGAGGAUAAUGGUUGGCAGCAUGCCCCAGCUAAAGAAACCAUGCCCCACAUUAAUGGUUGGUAGCAUGCCCCAGCUUCCCCAAUCGCCUCCUAGCCGACAUCUCAACAGAAGCCAUGCCUCCGCAUUAAUGACUGAUGGCAUGCCCCAGCUUCCCCAAUCGCCUCCGAGUUGACAUCUUAGCAGAAGCAAUGCCUCCGCAUUAAUGACUGACAGCAUCACCCGACUUCAUAUGCCUCUUCCCCUAUGGACAGCUGAUGGAGGGACCACUCCCUACGUAACCCAAAGCGACAAGGGAGUCAACCCAGAGGUGUCCCAAUGGUUUGCCCAAGGCGUUAGAGGACACACGCUAACAAGUCAGCCUCUUUAAUGCCUUCACCAUAUAGGAUAAAAUGAGCUUUGGCUAACAAACGUCGAGACUGCUCGGCACCCAGGUAUAAAAGCCAAGCCCCAAACUAAGACGAAAGGGGGCGAUCAAAAACCCUUUACUCUCAUUUACACUGCUCAUACUAUUUCUUGCCUCCCUCUCCAUUAUUCGCUAACUUAAGCAUCGGAGGGGUCGAGCCGAGACACCCCCGACGCAGGCCUGCUAUGUAAGGUCGUAGACGUAGCUCGGAGGCACGACCAGAACAUCUAGUCACUCCUUUGCCUCCGUAUUGUGGCGUGUCGCCUCAUCCUCGACAACCACCGAUGCAUCCCGAGCCUCAUCGAGCCUUCACUUGGCCCCCCUGGACCGUUGAUGAGUUAGCACUAGCUCCAAGAACAGCUCUACGGCCCGAACCUCAACAGCCCUGGACCCUAGUAUCCACCAUUUGCAAAAUGCCAUGGAAAGGAUGACACAACACACAACAGCAUCACCUACGACCAUUGACCAGACCCGCCAUAGCGGAUCCAUCCUCCCACCCAUGUAGUCGAGAUCAAGACCCGCUACGAUAAAAGCCACCUCAACGGAUCCAUCCUCCUGCUUAUGUGGUCGAGCCAAAACCCACAGCCGAUCCAUCCUCCCGUUUAUGCUAUCGAGCUAAAGCCCAUCACAGUGGGUUCAGCCUCCCACUUAUGCGGUCGAGCCAAAGCUCAUCGUAGUGGGUCCACUCUCUAGCUUACGCAGUCGAGCCAAAGCCCAUCGCAGUGGGUCUAACCUCUCGCUUACGUGAUCAAGCCAAAGCCCAUUACAGUGCAUCCAUCCUCCCGCUAUGACGAUCGAAUCAAGACCCGCUACGAUAGACUGACACCGACACUCCUGCUACGAUGGUUAUUCAAGACCUACUACGAUGGAAGCCGUCACAACAGACAGAUACCAAUACUCUUGCAACGACGAUCGAAUCAGGACCCGCUACGACGGAAGCCACCACGACAUAUUGAUACCGAUACUGCUAGUCAUAAGUGCCCUACAAGCCAAUCACGUGAGUGAUGGCACAUGUGACUUGACACAUAGUCUUUUUGCUUAUUAUAUUUUGGCAUUGAUCACUUUAUAUAUAUAUAUAUAUAUAUAUAUAUAUAUAUAUAUAUAUAUAUAUNNNNNNNNNNNNNNNNNNNNNNNNNNNNNNNNNNNNNNNNNNNNNNNNNNNNNNNNNNNNNNNNNNNNNNNNNNNNNNNNNNNNNNNNNNNNNNNNNNNNNNNNNNNNNNNNNNNNNNNNNNNNNNNNNNNNNNNNNNNNNNNNNNNNNNNNNNNNNNNNNNNNNNNNNNNNNNNNNNNNNNNNNNNNNNNNNNNNNNNNNNNNNNNNNNNNNNNNNNNNNNNNNNNNNNNNNNNNNNNNNNNNNNNNNNNNNNNNNNNNNNNNNNNNNNNNNNNNNNNNNNNNNNNNNNNNNNNNNNNNNNNNNNNNNNNNNNNNNNNNNNNNNNNNNNNNNNNNNNNNNNNNNNNNNNNNNNNNNNNNNNNNNNNNNNNNNNNNNNNNNNNNNNNNNNNNNNNNNNNNNNNNNNNNNNNNNNNNNNNNNNNNNNNNNNNNNNNNNNNNNNNNNNNNNNNNNNNNNNNNNNNNNNNNNNNNNNNNNNNNNNNNNNNNNNNNNNNNNNNNNNNNNNNNNNNNNNNNNNNNNNNNNNNNNNNNNNNNNNNNNNNNNNNNNNNNNNNNNNNNNNNNNNNNNNNNNNNNNNNNNNNNNNNNNNNNNNNNNNNNNNNNNNNNNNNNNNNNNNNNNNNNNNNNNNNNNNNNNNNAUAUAUAGUGUUGUCCUUGGAUCAGUUCAAUGGGAAUCAGAUCGUAAUGUAAUCACGAUAAUGAGAUCAAUUCACUUCUAAACACAGAUCCUAAAUAAUCCUGGUCAUAGGUUUACUCGAGAGGGAUAUCAAGAUAACCGGACAUAUUGGUGUGCUGUAUACCCGUCAAUAUGAUGGAUGCAACUGGUCUCAUAGCUGCUCUUGUGGGAACACUAGGGAUAUAGUACAGGUGCUCAUUGGAGAAUGAGUUCACUGAUUGAUCCGCUUCCGAAAUGUUGGAUGGUUGAUGAUGCCUUAUUGUCAUACAACGAUUCCGUAGUCCCAAUGACGUAUCUGAUCCUUAGACUUGAGACACCAAGGAUGUCUUGUAUUAGUACUCCACUCUUUGAUACUAGACUUAUAGGUUUGGAUGUCCUAGAUCUAGCAAAGUCGAUCAUCGGGAGUGACAAUCAACCGUACGAGCGCUAUUGAGUGUCGAUAGAAGAUCAUCCGCUCUCGGUAUCAUGAGAGAAAUAUCACAUAUGUUCUUGCUCAGACAAAUCCCUAGCCAGGGUCAUUCGGAUUAACAGAGAAAGAGUUCUCCGAGAGAAUCCGAUUAGAGCGAGACUCGAGUAGAAACCGUAUGGAUUUGACAACACCAUACCUGGAAUACGGUCUCUGGGAUAUUAUAUGGAUGAGGGACUAUAAAUAUACGGUAACUGAGGACUGACAGGUCCAAUGGAUUAAAUUCCCCUGUAUCGUUUGGGGACUGCAACGUAGUGGCCUAGUACGUCCGUAGUCGAUGAGUCGAGUGAGUUAUUAUGGAGAUAAUAAUUCACUGAGCCAGAAGGAGUUCGAAUAGGUAUGACUCAUGGCCAGCUCGAUAUUGGGCCUAAAGGAUUACACACAUAUGGUAAGCAUUACGAUUAGUAAAGGUUCGAAUAUGAAAUAUUCGUCGGAGCCCCUAUCUUAUUGGAUAUCCAAUAACCCCCUGAAUUAUUGGAUCACAUUAACGAGAUCCAAUAUGAGCCCAUAAGAGAUUAUUGGAUAGAGAUCUACUAAUAUAAGAUGCUUGGGUAGUUGGAUGGAGAUCCAAUACCCAAUAUGGGAGAAUCCAUUAGGGUUAAGUUUACUACGGAACUCUAUAAAUUGGAGGGAAUCAGUGGUUCAUAGGCUAGAGCCUUUUGCUUGCCUCUCUUAUUCUCCUCCCUCUCUACCAAAGAGGAGUGCACUUGACCUCAUUCACCCUCUCCUAGAAAUCUACAAGGAUUCAGGGAUAUACGAUCUCCCUAGAUAACACAAUUUAUCUUAUACGCAGUUUCUAGUUUUGCGGAUUUUUGCGUACUAAUCUUCGCACGACGACGAAUACAUCUUUAGGAAUUUGGGAUUUUGUUUUCUGUUCUUCCGUUGCACAUGUGAUGUCGCCCCCCAAGAUUUCCCAAUAGAUACUCCCGCUAUGACGAAUUGAUACCGAUCCUCCCGCUCAUACGAUCGAGCCAACACACUCACACCCUGUUGGUCGAGUACCUGCCCAAGAAGCAGAAGAAGGGGCAAGCCCAAAAGAAGACCCAACCUUCCGGACAGUAGGGGGAGGGAAAAAAACAGAGAGGCAAACCUCCCAAAGCAGAAGGGGGAGAUCAAAAAAUGAGAGAGAGUGAACUACCAUGCGAAAGGGGGAGAACAAAGACAGAGGGAAGGAAAAAAGAAAGGAUUCACUUAUGUCAACAUUCGUCAAUCCUACAUUUGCCCUAGCUGACAUCUCAACAGAAGCCAUGCCUCCGCAUUAAUGACUGGCAGCAUGCCCCCUGCUUCCCCAGUCGCCUACUGGCUGGCAUCUCAGAAGAAGCCAUGCCUCCGUAUUAAUGAUUGACAGCAUGGCCCGACUUCACCAGCCUUCCCCUUCGGAUGACUGAUGGAGGGCUCACUCCCUGCCUAACCUAAAGCAACAGGGGAGUUAGCCCAAAGGCAUCCCAACGGUCCGCACCAACAAGCCAUCCUUAUUAGUGCCUCCACCAUACAUAGUAAGGGAGGCCUUGGCUAACACGCGUCUAGACCGCUCAAUGAGUAGGUAUAAAAGCCAAGACCUAUACCUAGACAAAAUGAGGCAGGCAAAAACCAUCUAUUCUCUUAUUUACACUACUCUCACCAUUGUCUUCUUCCCUGUCCAUCUUUCGCUAACUUAAGCAUCGGAGGGGUCGACCUAAGACACCCUCGGCGCAAGCCUAUUAUGCAAGGUCGUCAGCAUAGCUCGGAGGCACGACUAGAAGGCAAGCCAACAGAAGGGACCUACACUUUGGACAUAUAACUAAUCGGGCCAACUCACUAGUCGACUGUCUCUGUGUGUUAACAAGAAAUAUCCAAAAGUUGAGUUUGUAACCUAUGACUUGCAAUUUUCUAAGAUGACAACAAGUUUAGUAAGAGAAACUAUGAUAUAUCCUAUUUUUGACCGCAUGGAAGUUCAAGAUAUUGAAUAAUUUUUGUUAAUUUACUUACCCGAUAUCGAGAUCUUGAAAAGUAAAGCACUUCUUGGAUGUUUAAAAUUUUUAAUACCCAAAAAUUCAUAACAUAAAUUGACAAAAAAGAGAUGUAUAAAUUGUCAACAGCAAAAAUUUCUCAGCUUCGUAAUGAACAUUUCCUAUAUUAAAUCUAAGUAUCGAAGCAACACAAUUCCACCCACAAGUUAUGUGGAAGUUCUCAUACCGAAGAGUGUCAGUGUGGAUGAAUCCGCAUGUAUCAUUUCUGCAAAUCAUUGCCACAGUCAUCCUCCAUCGAUAGAUAGUUUCAUCAUCUAUAUCCUUUUCUUCAUUCUCUUUUCAAAGGAAUCGAGUUGAUAUUUAAGACCUAAGACUCAGAAGGGCCAGCUAGUCACAAAUAAUGCACCAAAUCAGACAGCAAUACGAAUCCUAGCAAAGGAAUUUAAAUGAACCAGCCAAGUAGGUUAAAGCUCAAAAACCCUAAGGGAACCUUAAAACUCAGUGCCAAACUCUCGGCGGCGCAAUAAGCUGCUUGCUCGACAGAUUCUGAACCAAGCGAAGAGCCCACCACAUGAUAACGACAACAAAAGCGAAGAUUGAGGAAAGGAGAACAAGGGAGAAAGGAUACGGUGUCCGGGAAUGGCGAUCUCGAGUAUUGACGGCGAGGGGAUUAGCGUUGCAGAUGGACUCGACCGUGGUGAGGUCCCCGUUCCUCGCGGCGGCGUGGAGAUCGGAAGAUUCGCUGCCCCCCUUCGGUAAUCGGUUCUUCCUCCUCGAUGCCGCUCCGGGGUCUCCCAUCUCCGCGGGGUGUGCCGUCGUGGAGCUUCGAGCGACGAAGGCAGCGGUAAUACAUAGUUGAUUGAAGGCCGAGACCGUUAAGGCCCACAAAUGUGGAGACGUACUUCAAACGAAGAUACCUUGGAUCGUUAGAAUCGGACUAGGUUUCCGAGAGACAUUGGAUCGAGCUGGGGCUUAUCACCCGCAUCUUUCCUUCUUGGAUUAGGAUUAUAGCUCGAUUCGGAUAGGAUUCCGAAUCGAACUGGGGUUCGGACACUCUGCCUGUUAUAUAAGGACGUGACCUUUGGACUUGUCACGAAUCACUCCUCUCCGACGCUCUUCUUCGCUCCACACUGUUGUAUCGUCGCGUGGAAAGAUGUCUUCGCAACGAGGAGGAGGAGGAGGAGGGCGGCAAUAUUUGGUGGUGCGCUCGGUUUGGGCGUGGAACUUGGAGUACGAGUUCUCCAUCAUUGCUUCCCUCGUGGAUCGCUUCUCUUACGUCGCCUUCGACACGGAGUUUCCCGGCUUCCUCUACAGAACUCGGAGGCCACACCGUCUUCUCCCGCCCAGCCUGCGCUAUGCCCUCCUCAAGGCCAACGUCGACAAGAUGGAGCUCGUCCAACUCGGCCUCACCCUCUUCGACGCCUUCGGCGGCCUCCCCGACAUCGGCACCGGCGGCAGGGUCGGGUUCGUGUGGGAGUUCAACUUCCGGGAAUUCGAUGUCCGACGCGACCUCCACGCGCCGGACUCCGUCGACCUGCUCCGCUCCAGUGGCAUCGACUUCGACCGGCUCCCCCUCUACGGCAUUGACUCCGGCCAGUUCGCCGCCCACCUCUAUCGAUCCGGCCUCGUCGCUCAUUGCCGUUUCUGCCGCCCGCACUCCACUCGAUGGAUCGCCUUUCACAGCUGCUACGACUUCGCCUAUCUCAUCAAGGUGCUGGGGUUCGGCCGGCCUCUGCCCGACACCCUGGAAGAGUUCCUCGGCCUGGUGAACUUGCUCUUCGGAGAGACUGUGGAUCUCAAGCACAUUAUGCGCGGCUGCAAGGGUCUCUCCGGCGGGCUGGAGAGAGUGGCGAGUACCCUCGGGGUGCCACGCCAAGCUGGGAAGUCGCAUCAAGCUGGAUCAGAUAGCUUGGUGACCUGCCAAGUCUAUCUGAAGAUGAAGCGGAGGUUCUUCGACGACCAAGACGCCAAGGUGGCCUGCCAUCGCGGCAUCAUCUACGGCCUACAAGCCUGCUGAAUUCCUCCUUCGUUCUUGGAGUUUGUCAACGCAGCGCAGUGAAGGUCGUCGAUUCUCAAAGCAAGUCAACUCAAAUAUGAUCUUUCUCUUUUUCUUUGUGCACAAAUGUCGAAUGUUUCAACGUAAAUAAUAUACAAAUCAAGUCGUCUGUCAAAUUCGGAUGUGAAAAUUGAUUGCUGCUUGUGAUGUAUGGUAAGAAUCCGAAGAUUGUUGGAUAUGCACCACAUCGAUCUGUGCUCUGUUAUUUUCUGGCUCACAGUUCUUGGAUAAACUGAUAGCUUUCAAAUUGGGCAAACAACAUGAUAUGUUGAUGGCCGAAGAGAGGAAGUUCCCGUACAAGGGGGAGUCUGUACUUCUGCAGAUAGAUAAAGCAAGAUCAGAACAGAAACAAUGGAUCAUAAAAGGAGGGACGAAGAGAUGUUUCCUGAAGAUGACUCUUGCGAUGGUAAAACAUCAAGCUUAGCACUGACUUUGGAGUCACUUCUCCCAAUUGAUCACCGAAUUAUAAUUCACGAUCAUAAUUCGAUCGUAAUUGACUCAGAUCUACAGUUCAGAAAUAUGAAGCUUCAGCAAGGUGGGUGGAAGGCACCAUGGCCAUCAUGGUAGCCAAUCAAUCAUGUGAGGUUGCAAUCAAGGUUUAAAGAUGAUGAGCUAACUAACACUACUUCAAGUCAAAAAUUAAAAGGGUUAGAGAAAAGAUGAUGAGCUCUGGAACAGAGUAAUUAAUCCAUGUGAAGAGUCAUUUCCACACGCUGCCAAUUUUUUAUACAGAACUUAAAUUGAAGAUAUCAAAUUUACUCGUCGCCGAAAGUAUGUCGAGUUAGGUGCUCAUGAAUUCGAACACCAUCUUAACCUGCAAGACCUACGCAAACUGGGAAGAAGAGACCAUCGAUCCAUAGUGUGAAUGAGAAGUUCAUGAGAAAACUGAUUUGAAAAUGGGAGAACAUUUCCUUCACCAACUGCAAAAGCAUGCUUCAGAUAUAAUGACAGAAACAAAGAAUAAAGAUGUGCAACAUUUGCUAACAAAAAACACCUUAUAGAUCAACAGAUAAAGUCCCAGAAAACAACACAAAGUCACCAAUAAAAUGUUACAGCAUCAACACUAGAGCAGCCCUUAUACGAUUGUUGUCUUUCGUAUUUGCGUCCAAUUCUCCAUCCUCAUCUUGUACAUCAUUUUCAGCCAGAAGGUGAUCAAGGGAAACCUUAGACUUUUUAGGUUUUGAUGAGUCCUCAUCAGCAGCUGCUUCACCUCUUCUCUUUUCCUUAGUAUCCGUGCCUUCUUCAUCGACAUUACCCGACUCUU
rnacentral:lncRNA from 1 species